rnacentral:rRNA from 1 species
UGUGCCUACGGGACGCAGCAGUGGGGGAUAUUGCACAAUGGAGGGAACUCUGAUGCAGCGACGCCGCGUGAGGAAAGAAGGUUUUCGGAUUGUAAACCUCUGUCUUCGGUGACGAAACGAGACGGUAGCCGAGGAGGAAGCCACGGCUAACUACGUGCCAGCAGCCGCGGUAAUACGUAGGUGGCAAGCGUUGUCCGGAAUUACUGGGUGUAAAGGGAGAGUAGGCGGGAAAGCAAGUUGAAUGUUUAAGGUACGGGCUCAACCUGUACAAGCGUACAAAACUGUUUUUCUUGAGUGGCUGAGAG